rnacentral:rRNA from 1 species
AUUGAACGCUGGCGGCAGGCCUACCACAUGCCAGUCGAGCGAGAGGCGGACGGGUGAGUAAUGUCUGGGCAACUGCCUGAUGGAGGGGGAUAACUACUGGAAACGGUAGCUAAUACCUCUUACCAUAAGCUGUGCCCAGAUGGGAUUAGCUAGUAGGUGGGGUAAUGGAUCACCUAGGCGACAAUCCCUAGCUGGUCUGAGAGGAUGACCAGCCACACUGGAACGGAGACACGGUCCAGACUCCGACGGGAGGCAGCAGGGGGGAAUAUUGCACAAUGGGCGCAAGCCUGAUGCAGCCAUGCCGCGUGUGUGAAGAAGGCCUUCGGGUUGUAAAGUACUUUCAGCGGGGAGGCGUUACCCGCAGAAGAAGCACCGGCUAACUCCGUGCCAGCAGCCGCGGUAAUAC